UGCCUACGGGGCGCAGCAGUAGGGAAUCUUCCACAAUGGACGAAAGUCUGAUGGAGCAACGCCGCGUGAGUGAAGAAGGGUUUCGGCUCGUAAAGCUCUGUUGGUAGUGAAGAAAGAUAGAGGUAGUAACUGGCCUUUAUUUGACGGUAAUUACUUAGAAAGUCACGGCUAACUACGUGCCAGCAGCCGCGGUAAUACGUAGGUGGCAAGCGUUGUCCGGAUUUAUUGGGCGUAAAGCAAAUGCAGGCGGGUCAAUAAGU
rnacentral:rRNA from 1 species